rnacentral:rRNA from 1 species
AGGGUGCGAGCGUUAAUCGGUAAUUACUGGGCGUAAAAGCGCAUGCAGGUGGUUUGUUAAGUCAGAUGUAGAAAACGCCCGGGCUCAAACCUCGGAAACUGCUAUUUGAAAACUGGCAGACUAGAGUACUGUAGGAGGGGGUAGUAAUUUCAGGUGUAGCGGUAGAAAAUGCGUAGAGAUCUGAAGGAAUACCGGUGGACGAAGGCCGGCCCCUGGACAGAUACUGACACUCAGAUGACGAAAGCGGUGGGGAGCAAACAGGAUUAGAUACCCUGGUAG